UUAGUUUUUUACUAUCAAAUAUUUGCAUUUCUAACCUUAGCAACUUGAAGACAAAUGGACUUUCAAUGCCCAGAAUUCCCCAGCCAGCGUUUUUCUAUAGCAAUAGUUUUUGAACUAGCUUGGCUAGCACAGGAGUAAACUUUGGGUUUUGUAUCUGUUGCUGCUGUUGCUUAUUUGCUGCAGUCUUUUCUGUUGGGGGAUGCUGUAGUACUAGUUUGCUGCCUGUGCUAUUAAGUUCAGAAAUACUCCAUAACAAGUAAAUCCUUGCCCAAGACAAUUCCUCUUCAUUCAGUGCGGCCCAGACAAGCCAAAAGAAGCUGAUCAAGAUACGUCUGCUUGUUUGCUGCUAAU